rnacentral:lncRNA from 12 species
CGCGUGCUCUGCUCACACCCGUCUGUGCGGGGGGCAGCAAACAGGGGGUGCGGAGUAGGUCACGGCAGACACCCGAAGACGGACCCCGAAACACAUGGGUGUGUGAUGCUCGGCAGCCGCUCUCGGCCACCCGCCGCCACCACGAAGGCCGAGGGGAAGCGGCCGAGCCCUGGGGCCUCCGGGCUCCAGCAGCAGGCUCCGAGAAGAAUGGAGAUUUGCAGAUCUGAUAAUGAGCCAGUUAAUGACAUAAAUGAUACCUCAAGAACCUCACUAAACCAUCCAGGUCCUACAAUUUAAUCUGUAAUAAAUACUCCUGCAUCAUUGCGAGAUGGCUGCUC